UACGAAGGGGGCUAGCGUUGUUCGGAUUUACUGGGCGUAAAGCGCACGUAGGCGGAUUCUUAAGUCAGGGGUGAAAUCCCGGGGCUCAACCCCGGAACUGCCUUUGAUACUGGGUAUCUCGAGUCCGAGAGAGGUGAGUGGAAUUCCGAGUGUAGAGGUGAAAUUCGUAGAUAUUCGGAGGAACACCAGUGGCGAAGGCGACUCUCUGGUCUGUUACUGACGCUGAGGAGCGAAAGCGUGGGGAGCGAACAGG
rnacentral:rRNA from 1 species